UCCCUAUGGGGACACCGAUUAAAUUGGAACGACACAAAGAAGAUCAGCAUGUCCCUUACUUGCGCAAGGAUGAUUUGCAGAAACCGAGAUAUGGUCCCAAGUAGU